GUAUGUAUGUGCCUCUGUAUGUAUAUGUGUCUGUCUGUAUGUAUGUAUAUGUCUCUGUGUGUAUGUAUUUGUGUCUGUAUGUGUGUGUGUCUCUAUGUAUGUGUCUGUGUGUGUUGGGGGGCCCAUGGAUCAGUUUCACACUGGGGCCCCAUGGUUUGUGUGUACGCCACUGUUCCCGCUAUGGGCUGUCCAUGUCUUUUUCCCCCAGUUGUCCCCUCUGUUUUAUGCUUGCGAUCC